rnacentral:tRNA from 1 species
UAAUAAGAAACCAUUAGGUAUUCAGUUUCGACCUGAAAAUUAGAUAUUAUUUAUCCUUAUUUA